rnacentral:rRNA from 1 species
CUACGGGAUGCAGCAGUGAGGAAUAUUGCACAAUGGGGGGAACCCUGAUGCAGCAACGCCGCGUGGAGGAUGACGCAUUUCGGUGUGUAAACUCCUUUUAUAUGUCAAGAAAAUGACGGUAGCAUAUGAAUAAGCACCGGCUAACUCCGUGCCAGCAGCCGCGGUAAUACGGAGGGUGCAAGGGUUACUCGGAAUCACUGGGCGUAAAGGACGCGUAGGCGGGUUGGAAAGUCAGGUGUGAAAUCCUACAGCUUAACUGUAGAACUGCACUUGAAACUUCUAAUCUAGAGUAUGGGAGGGGGAGAUGGAAUUAGUGGUGUAGGGGUAAAAUCCGUAGAUAUCACUAGGAAUACCUAAAGCGAAGGCGAUCUCCUGGAACAUUACUGACGCUAAGGCGUAAAGCGUGGGGAGCAAACAGGAUUAGAUACCCGAGUAGUC